AGAGUUUGAUCCUGGCUCAGGAUGAACGCUGGCGGCGUGCUUAACACAUGCAAGUCGAACGAACCUUCGGGUUAGUGGCGGACGGGUGAGUAACGCGUGAGAAUCUGCCCUCAGGAGGGGGAUAACGGUUGGAAACGACCGCUAAUACCCCAUAUGCCUACUGGUGAAACGAAUUUCGCCUGAGGAUGAGCUCGCGUCUGAUUAGCUAGUUGGUGAGGUAAUGGCUCACCAAGGCUUCGAUCAGUAGCUGGUCUGAGAGGAUGAUCAGCCACACUGGGACUGAGACACGGCCCAGACUCCUACGGGAGGCAGCAGUGGGGAAUUUUCCGCAAUGGGCGAAAGCCUGACGGAGCAACGCCGCGUGAGGGACGAAGGCCUCUGGGCUGUAAACCUCUUUUCUCAAGGAAGAAGAUAUGACGGUACUUGAGGAAUAAGCCACGGCUAAUUCCGUGCCAGCAGCCGCGGUAAUACGGGAGUGGCAAGCGUUAUCCGGAAUUAUUGGGCGUAAAGCGUCCGCAGGCGGCUUUUCAAGUCUGCUGUUAAAACGUGGAGCUUAACUCCAUCAUGGCAGUGGAAACUGAAAGGCUUGAGUAUGGUAGGGGCAGAGGGAAUUCCCGGUGUAGCGGUGAAAUGCGUAGAUAUCGGGAAGAACACCAGUGGCGAAGGCGCUCUGCUGGGCCAUUACUGACGCUCAUGGACGAAAGCCAGGGGAGCGAAAGGGAUUAGAUACCCCUGUAGUCCUGGCCGUAAACGAUGAACACUAGGUGUCGGGGGAAUCGACCCCUUCGGUGUCGUAGCUAACGCGUUAAGUGUUCCGCCUGGGGAGUACGCACGCAAGUGUGAAACUCAAAGGAAUUGACGGGGGCCCGCACAAGCGGUGGAGUAUGUGGUUUAAUUCGAUGCAACGCGAAGAACCUUACCAGGGUUUGACAUCCUGCGAACCUCUUAGAAAUUUGAGGGUGCCUUCGGGAAUGCAGUGACAGGUGGUGCAUGGCUGUCGUCAGCUCGUGUCGUGAGAUGUUGGGUUAAGUCCCGCAACGAGCGCAACCCACGUUUUUAGUUGCCAGCAUUUAGUUGGGCACUCUAGAAAGACCGCCGGUGAUAAACCGGAGGAAGGUGUGGAUGACGUCAAGUCAUCAUGCCCCUUACACCCUGGGCUACACACGUACUACAAUGCUACGGACAAAGGGCAGCAAACUCGCGAGAGCUAGCAAAUCCCAUAAACCGUGGCUCAGUUCAGAUCGUAGGCUGCAACUCGCCUACGUGAAGUAGGAAUCGCUAGUAAUCGCAGGUCAGCAUACUGCGGUGAAUACGUUCCCGGGCCUUGUACACACCGCCCGUCACACCAUGGAAGUUGGCCAUGCCCGAAGUCGUUACUCCAACCCUUGUGGAGGAGGACGCCGAAGGUGGGGCUAAUGACUGGGGUGAAGUCGUAACAAGGUAGCCGUACCGGAAGGUGCGGCUG
rnacentral:rRNA from 1 species